GAUGAACGCUAGCUACAGGCUUAACACAUGCAAGUCGCGGGGCAGCAUGGGGGUUGCUUGCAAUCCCCGAUGGCGACCGGCGCACGGGUGAGUAACGCGUAUCCAACCUGCCCUUCACCACGGGAUAACCCGGCGAAAGUCGGACUAAUACCGUAUGUUGUCCAUUGACGGCAUCCGAUUUGGACGAAAGGUUUGGCGGUGAAGGAUGGGGAUGCGUCCGAUUAGCUGGACGGCGGGGUGACGGCCCACCGUGGCGACGAUCGGUAGGGGUUCUGAGAGGAAGGUCCCCCACACUGGAACUGAGACACGGUCCAGACUCCUACGGGAGGCAGCAGUGAGGAAUAGUGGUCAAUGGGCGUAAGCCUGAACCAGCCAAGUAGCGUGCAGGAGGACGGCCCUAUGGGUUGUAAACUGCUUUUAUGCGGGGAUAAAGUGGCCCACGUGUGGGUUUUUGCAGGUACCGCAUGAAUAAGGACCGGCUAAUUCCGUG
rnacentral:rRNA from 1 species